AUCGACUGAAAAUACAGUCGUACCUCUAUAACCCCUUUAAAUCGAAAGCCUCUGCAGAUCGAAGCUUUUUAUUUCCCCUUGCAAACUUUCGAUAAUUCCAAAAAAAAAAAAAAAAAAAAAAAAAAUUGAAAAAAAGAAAAGUUGACUCGAAAAUGCGCGUACUCGACGCUUGCAAACUACAGAUUAGAAGUUAUCUUGACUCUUGGGACCUAGAACUAGAGUUUAACUGAAUGUUACUCUUGGGAUCUACAACUCGAAUUUAUCUCAACUCUAUCGCUCUUGUAAUCUAAAACUUCUAAUUGUCUAAACGUCAAUUUACUGCCGUUACUUUCUGUUUCCUAACUUUUAGAUUGCUUUACGUUACAUCACAGUUUAUUUCGUUGGUCCUUGGUCCUAUUUCAGUAAAAAUUGAUAAUGGCAACGAUCUCGAUAAAUAUACAGUACAUCAAAGCACAAUGAAACCACAAAUUUUGGUAAAUACAUUCAUCGAUAUCUAUACUAUGUUUGUUUAAGAAACUGUAAACUAUUCGAAAGCCAUGCAAGAUUCAUUCCUGUCGCUCUCGGAGUCACGUCUAUCCAAUCAUUCGAUUCAGUAAAUAAAAGCAGACCUCUAAAAUCAUCCAUCGUACUACGUUCGUUCGUAAAUGAAAACUAAAAGCUUCGGCGUUCGCUCCUAUAUUUAACAUCAUUAUAGCCUUGGUGAGCUCUUACCCUCGACUUUCAUAUAUUUUUUAUUUUUACGCUUCCUCUUUAACGCCUUGAAGUCGGUAAUAUUCCUAUUCCUUUUAAAUUCGAUUCCAUUAAUGCCCCACGAAUAAUUAUACCGAGGAGUGGCUGAAAUUCCCGGGCCAAUACUUCCUAGUAACACAGUUUGUCGAUACUGUAAUGAUGUUAAAUAUAUUUAUAUCCAGCCAAGCUAUCCGGUCCAAUUAUUAUUUUUCAUUUCCCUUCGGCCUCGACUUACCGAGAUCUAAUUUUACUCGUUUACUCUCCUCGCGCUUAUACCCGUGAAAAACAAAAAAGGUACAUUCGUCCCAUUCAACCCACCGCGGAAACGCCAGCCAAUGGAACCCGAGUUUUCCGAUGGGAUAUCAUCUUCAAGAACAAAAUCUAUUGUAAGGAAAAAGAAUGAAAGAUCAUCCCUGGAAGGAAUUCCGACUCGUAUCGGGUUGGACGUUUCAGUCAGUGUUCGACUGAAGUAAAAAUUACUCGACGCUGUUCGUCAAAUGAUUUUCAAGCAUUUUGAGAGACGGUUGUGUAAAGAGACGUAAAAUUUUUUACGAAAUUCAGGAGGAAAGAUAUAUUGGCAUUACUCGAUUAACGCGUUGAUUGUCAAUCAGAAGAUAACUCGUAGUUAACAUGUCGUAAUCGUGACCCUCGGGGGCUGUAGCGGUGUUUUUUAAAACUACGGUACGGGCUUAGCAACCCCGAGGUACCCGAGCUAGAGGGGGGCCAGCGGGCCCCAAUAGAUGAGAAGUAAGAAAUACUGCAAACGGUAUUAAAACACUAGACUUUUUAAUAAUAUAAUAUUAUUGAAUCAAGUAAGCUUUUUACACUGGACUCCUGAAAAGUACAGCAACGCUUUAAUUUAAAAAAUGGAAAAAAAUAAUGUUCAAGCCUCGCGUACGUCGCAAUGCACGAGGUUAAUCCGAGUCUGAUCUUUCUUUCUCUGUAAAACACUAGCCUACCGUUGCGCCGACCUAUCUAGGUAAAGGCAGAGCUAUUACUUUUCGAUCGUGGCAGCGAACAGAGGAUUAAAAGGAUACCAGAAUCAGCACGCCAAUGUAGAUAGCGUUCUAUACGAAUCGCGGUAACGUCGCAACGAUUUCCCUGACGAUGGCAAGCGCGAGAGGGAUGCGCGCGCCUAACCGAUCGUCGCAUCCUCGUUGCGGCUUUAAAAAAAAUCUAGUCGCGUAAUAAACGGAGAGCUCGAUUCCGAGCUAUCGAUAACUUUGUUUCCAAAUGAGAAAUUCACCCGACGGGAUUAACGGCAACAGGUUCUCGGGGGAAGUUCCGGUCGAACAGGGUGGGCGAGCACGGGGUGCUGGACACGGGGUGUUUCCUUAUGGAGAAAAAAAUAUACAUGUCGAAUCGAGUAACCUCCUCUUUUUUCGAAGUCGGUUAAAAAUGAAUGGAUAAUGUGCAACGACAUUUUGGAACUCGAGCUAUUUAGUUCUCGAGAAAAUCUGCUUUGAAAAUUCAUUGUCAUGCCUCCGUGGGCAUAGGAGGAGAAUGGUAGAUUAAUCUUUAUUUAAAGAACGAAUAAACGCGUGGGUAAUACACCGAAAAAGUCGAACAAGAUCCGUGUUGAGUAAUUUUGUUUCAGUUGCAGGUCUCACGGAGGCUGAGCUAAGCGUCUGACCCAGUACGGUCCGCAACUCCUUCGAGGACUGAUUUCUUUCCACUACGGUACGCGUCGGGCUGUCUGACCAUAACUCGCUGUUUUCACUUGGGUUGCCGCGAGUAAAGUUCGACGGUGGUCACGGUGUUAUUUGUUUUCCAUGCACACUGCGAUCCCGCGAUAACGAUAUGGCUCUCAGGCCAAAUGUCCGUUUGCGUGCCAUCGUAGUCGGACAGAAUGAUACACGGUACGACACCACACGAUCUCCCGAAAGACAUUGGAAUCAAGUUGAAUCACGCGACCACGAAGAAUAUCCGUUAACCCUUCACACUCCACUGGCGCCGUCACGGCGACGUAAACUGAAUAUCAACGAAGCAGAUGAAGAAAACGUGUUGCGAAGUAGUUGGCAAUCUCGAGGUGGAAAACUUGGGUGCCAGUCGUUGUUUAUUAUUCAAACGAC